rnacentral:lncRNA from 1 species
GGAGGCGGGGCGGCAGCCGAUGGGAGCUCAAGCCUGCGUCCCCGGGGACCUGGCCAGCUGGCCCGCGGCCUCGGAGGCCAGGCCUGGACCGAGUAUAAACCCUGAGAUCACCUGCCAUCAUCACCCCUCUGCUCAGCACUGUGGACCCCAGUCAGCAAAACUCCCAGCAAAACUGCUCUGCUCCAAACAGUUUUCUGAACAUUCCACAAUUUCAGUCAUCACCAGGAUUGUGUCAGGGAGCAGCCAUCACUGCUGGAGUUUGAAGGGACUGAUAAGCAUACAAAGCAGAGAGACAGACGAAGUAAUGGGUCAGCCAAAAUGUGAAUGGAAGCCGAAUUGGAGAACAAGACUCCGAGGAGCAGCAACCCAGGGUCUCCGGAUGCUCUUGCCUCCAAGUUGGUCCUAGAGGAGCCCCCUCAACAGAUAUUCGGGGUCUUCAGAAUGGAUGCUGACAUCCCUCCACUUAUCCAGACAAGGUCUCUCUCAUGGCAUAAACUAUGAAAACGGUAGAUAGCUAUUCCCCUGUGGGGAAUGAAGGUGGGAGCUCUCAUGGCAGGCAAACCAGAUCAAACCUCCACCAUAAGUAGCAGUGUCUGGAGGUAAGUUUCCCUUGCCAGAGACAUCUCCUUAUCUCUCCUCUCUCGCUAUCUCACUGUCUACCAUCUGUCAAUCGUUUAUCUUCAGUGUAUUUCUCCUUUUGGGGAAAUGACUGUAUAGUAAUGUUUAUUAUAAAAGUAGUAGAAUAAAAGUAACCAUUAGUCAAAAAAAAAAAAAUACAAUUUUUGCUAAAAAGCAGAAAAUGUAACCGAGAAAGAGAGAGACUGUACAGAAGAUGACCUGUGUAAUAAAUUGCUGUGGCUUGAUACCCAGGAUAAGGAAUCACAAAUGUCAAUAAUCUAUUGUAAGUAUUACUCAGAGAUGAUUGUGUGAUAAAGCAAAUGAGUAGUUAUGUGAUAUUCUAAUUCUUUCUCUUCUGAUCUCAUUGAAAAUUUGGAUUCUCAGCGUGAAAGAGAAGAGGAACUAAUGUAAAUUGAGAAGUUUAGGUAAAAACUCCAAGUCUGGAAUUCGAAUCAAACCCAUUGGUAUGUAUUUACUACGCAUUUUAUUUUAAAAAUCAUGUCCUAGUCUAGCCCUCUGAAAAGGCAUAGAUGGAGUCACCCAUCCGGCAGUAACAAGCGUUCUUAGUGCCCGGGUUAUGGGUUCCAGAUACUAUUUGCGGUUAAAAGAAACAGGUGAUCUUAGAAAUGUUCAAGAGGAGCUUUAGGCAUAUUUCAAAUGGGAGGAUGAGGGAGCCAUCCAAUUACCAGGAUAGCGGCUAAGGGCCAGAGGACCCAACUGGAAGAGGCUCCCACUGGCCAGAGGUGGGGCAUUUGAGCAAUAGUAAGGGACAUCUGUGGAAUGAGACACCCGAUAUGCUUAAAGCCUUGAGUUUACAGUGACACAAAACAAAAUCCAUAAUAGCUUACAUGCUGACAGAUGCCAGUGAGUUAACUCAUUAUUUCAGAAUUGAAAAAGGAGAAUAUAGCACUUAUCCUGCCUUUUCUCCAUGCCUGGGAUCAGUGAAUUUACAAAGAGUUGAUGGGGGAACGUUUCUCUGUGUAAAACUAUUCCAGCUAAUAUGUGAAGAACAAAGGACAAAAUAGAUUAUCACCAUUGUGCAAACUGUGAUGGAUCCAGGCACUGCACUAGCUGCUUUUACAUCAUAAAAGAGGCUGUUGGACGUUAUGUGUCCACUGGAAGCAGAGCACAGCACUACCUGUGAAGUUGUCUUACCAAAAUCAUCAUGUGUGAAUCUGAUGAAGCUUUCAGACCAACUGUCACUUACAGAAACCAUAGAAGACUGAGGGACACGUUAUUGGUCACCAUGGGAAUGUGGUGUCAAGGUCAAGUCCAGACCUUGAGAACCUCCAGAGGAAAAACAAUCUGGUUCCUGCAACGCUAAUUUGCCAGGGUGGGGGUUGAAGAGAGAGGUAAAUUUAUGAGACUUAAACGAGAUAUCGACCUGGAGUUCCUGCCGUGGCUCAGGGGAAACGAAUCUGACCAGUAUUCACGAGGACGCAGGUUCCAUCCCUGGCAUCGCUCAGUGGGUUAAGGAUCUGGUGUUGCUGUGAGCUGCAGUAUAGAUCACAGAUGCGGCUCAGAUCCUGUGUGGCUGUGGCACAGGCCAGUAGCUGCAGCUCUAAUUCGACCCCUAGCCUGGAAACUUCCAUACGCCAUGGAUGCAGCCCUAAAAAGACCAAAAAAAAAAAAAA